CCACAGACACGCCCUUAAACGAAACCUCAAGAUCUUCGCAAUUUAACAUCGCAAAGGCCUUUAGAUUACACUGACAAAGUUUGGUGUUGAUCUGAAUAAAUCUCUAGGAGGAGUUCGUUAAAGUACAACCCCUGAAAAUGGCAAAAACGACACAAAUUUCGCAGAGAAAAUUCAAAAUAACUGACUUCCUGUUGGGAUUCGAAUUUCGUACCAAGAGACUUUUUUGUAGGUAUUGGUGUGUUACAUGUGUUUACCGAUUUUUGUACAUGUACAUGAAACGUAGCUCGAGGCGCACUCCGUUGAAAAUGUAUAGGUGGCGCUAUCGAGGCAUUUUGCCACACCCAAUGGAAUAUUGG
ensembl:lncRNA